ACAGGCUAUAUUGCCUGUUUCCAGCGUUGGAUAAUCACAUUAUUACUGGAGGAACUGUGGCUGUUUUUUGUUUUUUUUAGGCUAAUUUCUUUUCUGCAGAUGAGAGUUGCGUCAUUCACGCAACCCUGAGGGCAAAGACAGCAAGCACUGUUUAUUUUCAUUUAGCAAAUAGUAGGAAUUGUGCCCACACACAAACACAGACACAUACAUACACAGGCAGGGACAAAGAAUCGCUAACAAGUUUACCCCAUUCGAGGCUCCUCAUUUCCGCCACACAACAACCCGUGUAUUUGCAAGUCCUCCAGGCCAAACAGCAGCGCACUAAAACAGAUCUUAUCCAGAUCAGUGCCAGGUCUGUGCCGAAACUGGACCAAGUCUGUUCCACAGCAUCUACAUUUGACUCCUAGUGCCUCUGCUUCUACAUAGGCACUUCUCAAACGCACCGGGUAACGGACCAACCCCUGCCUGCAUUAUAGAAUAAACCCAAUGGUGGUACACAGCUGAAGGUGUAAAUACAUUCUUCAGAGUUCGGAAAUCCUUGUGUGGAGGGGCUCAUAAAAAGAAAGAAAGAAGGUUCCUAUUAAUGAACACUCAUCAGAACGGUUCCUAAUAGAACCUUUACGGGUUAUGGAGGCAGACUGAAGAAUGUCUGAAACUCGGUGAGGCGGUCAGUGACAUCGCUGGACACUGUCCAUCCCUUGGAAAGUGUGUCACAUAGGACUAAUUGGAUGUGUAUGUGUGUCCAAGUACUUAAGAAGUAGUUAAAGCAGCUCCGCUUGCUGGCCCAGUGCUGUGGGUGAACUGACCUGAUGAUGUGCAGCAGCAGCAUGAUUCAAAUAGCAACACGCACUUCCUGUUUGCCUUAUUUGAUCCCCCUUCUCUUUGUGAUGCUGUUGUGACAGCGCCAUGUCAAGGGAGCAAUUCAGGCGAUGAGACAGGUUGGUGGUAGGGGGGUGUAGAGUGAGACAGGUUGGUGGUAGGGGGUGUAGAGUGAGACAGGUUGGUGGUAGGGGGGUGUAGAGUGAGACAGGUUGGUGGUAGGGGGGUGUAGAGUGAGACAGGUUGGUGGUAGGGGGGUGUAGAGUGAGACAGGUUGGUGGUAGGGGGGUGUAGAGUGAGACAGGUUGGUGGUAGGGGGGUGUAGAGUGAGCGCUGCAAUGUGGCAACCGGCCACCCGUCUGUUCAAGUGUCCUCUGGAGAGAACGGGGUGAUGCUGCGCUGCUAAGCAAUGCAGGAAGCGUCGCCCUGGAGACACCACGGAGACACGGCCAUCCCGUCACCUUUGCGUCAUUUCCCCAGGCGUCGUGG
ensembl:lncRNA